rnacentral:rRNA from 1 species
CUGAAUCAGUGUGUGUGUUAGUGGAAGCGUCUGGAAAGGCGCGCGAUACAGGGUGACAGCCCCGUACACAAAAAUGCACAUGCUGUGAGCUCGAUGAGUAGGGCGGGACACGUGGUAUCCUGUCUGAAUAUGGGGGGACCAUCCUCCAAGGCUAAAUACUCCUGACUGACCGAUAGUGAACCAGUACCGUGAGGGAAAGGCGAAAAGAACCCCGGCGAGGGGAGUGAAAAAGAACCUGAAACCGUGUACGUACAAGCAGUGGGAGCACGCUUAGGCGUGUGACUGCGUACCUUUUGUAUAAUGGGUCAGCGACUUAUAUUCUGUAGCAAGGUUAACCGAAUAGGGGAGCCGAAGGGAAACCGAGUCUUAACUGGGCGUUAAGUUGCAGGGUAUAGACCCGAAACCCGGUGAUCUAGCCAUGGGCAGGUUGAAGGUUGGGUAACACUAACUGGAGGACCGAACCGACUAAUGUUGAAAAAUUAGCGGAUGACUUGUGGCUGGGGGUGAAAGGCCAAUCAAACCGGGAGAUAGCUGGUUCUCCCCGAAAGCUAUUUAGGUAGCGCCUCGUGAACUCAUCUCCGGGGGUAGAGCACUGUUUCGGCAAGGGGGUCAUCCCGACUUACCAACCCGAUGCAAACUGCGAAUACCGGAGAAUGUUAUCACGGGAGACACACGGCGGGUGCUAACGUCCGUCGUGAAGAGGGAAACAACCCAGACCGCCAGCUAAGGUCCCAAAGUCAUGGUUAAGUGGGAAACGAUGUGGGAAGGCCCAGACAGCCAGGAUGUUGGCUUAGAAGCAGCCAUCAUUUAAAGAAAGCGUAAUAGCUCACUGGUCGAGUCGGCCUGCGCGGAAGAUGUAACGGGGCUAAACCAUG